rnacentral:rRNA from 1 species
GACGAACCGCCCGAACGUUGUUCGGAAUCACUGGGCUUAAAGGGAGCGUAGGCGGGCUGCCAAGUCCGGGGUGAAAUCCUCCAGCUUAACUGGAGAACUGCCUCGGAUACUGGAAGUCUCGAGGAGGGUAGGGGCAAGUGGAACCGUGGGUGGAGCGGUGGAAUGCGUUGAUAUCCAUGGGAACUCCGGUGGCGAAGGCGACUUGCUGGACCCUUUCUGACGCUGAGGCUCGAAAGCCAGGGGAGCAAACGGG